rnacentral:rRNA from 1 species
UGGGGGAUAUUGCACAAUGGGGGGAACCCUGAUGCAGCGACGCCGCGUGGGUGAAGAAGCGCCUCGGCGCGUAAAGCCCUGUCAGCAGGGAAGAAAAUGACGGUACCUGAAG